UACGAAGGGGGCGAGCGUUGUUCGGAUUUACUGGGCGUAAAGGGCGCGUAGGCGCUUGUCAGUCAGGCGUGAAAGCCCCGGGCUCAACCUGGGAACGGCGCUUGGGACGGCGAGGCUGGAGUUCGGGAGAGGAGAGUGGAAUUCCCAGUGUAGAGGUGAAAUUCGUAGAUAUCAUUUGGAACGCCAAUGGUGAAAACAGCUCGCUGGGAAUGAUCUGACACUGAGACGCGAAAGCCAGGGGAGCGAACGGG
rnacentral:rRNA from 1 species